ACGCUGAGCACUGCGGCUCUGUCAGCAGCAACAUCUCUGUUAGGGGCAGCAACACCUCUCCCUGUGAGGGACGGUUCUUAUUAAUCAGGGGCACUGAAUGGAAACCAAUCAGAUAGAGAGUCCCUUUUGCUUCUGCUCGCUGACUGCCUGACUUAAAAGUGAUACUGGGAGAGAGGGAGCCCUAGAGAGAUGCAAGUGCAUUCAGCGCUGGAGAUACGGUAAAAUGCAGAAGGGAGGAAGCAGGUAGAGAAGCAGCACUGAACGGACAAAGCUAGGCUCACAGUGACAGACUGGGUUCUACUUGCAAGAGGAAUAUAAUAUUUGAAAAAAAAUUUUCUGGUGAAUUAUUAGAAGAGUGGAGGCUAACAGCAUCUCUGUAAACGAUGAGGACUUACUCCUUCCUGAUAGUUUUGCUUUGGAGCUGUAUGUUUCAUGUGAUUCACAUGAUGCCAUCCCAAAAAAGGACUAACAAGUACUCACACAGUGAAAGGAUAACAGGAUUGUCAGAGAAUGAUGGAAAAACACUGCACCGCACCAAGCGUGGUUGGAUGUGGAAUCAAUUUUUCUUGCUGGAGGAGUACACAGGUCCAGAUACUCAAUACGUGGGCAAGCUACACACUGACCAAGAUAAAGGAGAUGGAAAUUUAAAAUACAUAUUAACAGGAGAUGGGGCUGGCAGUCUGUUCAUUAUAGAUGAAAAUACAGGAGAUAUUCAUGCUGCAAAGAAAUUGGACAGAGAAGAAAAGUCCCUGUAUGUGCUUCGUGCCAAGGCUAUAGACAGAAAAACUGGAAGACAAGUGGAGCCAGAGUCUGAAUUUAUCAUUAAAAUCCAUGAUAUCAAUGACAAUGAACCAAAAUUCACCAAGGACAUGUACACCGCCAGUAUUCCGGAGAUGUCUGGAGUUGGUACAUCUGUUAUUCAGGUGACAGCCACAGAUGCUGAUGAUGCCAACUAUGGAAACAGUGCCAAAGUGGUGUACAGCAUCCUCCAGGGACAGCCAUAUUUCUCAGUGGAUCCAGAAACAGGCAUAAUCAAGACUGCUUUACCGGACAUGAGCAGAGAAAACAGGGAACAGUAUCAAGUGGUCAUCCAGGCCAAAGACAUGGGAGGCCAGAUGGGAGGACUAUCAGGGACCACCACCGUGAAUAUCACACUGACUGAUGUCAACGACAAUCCGCCUCGCUUCCCCCAGAGAACCUACCAAUUUAGUUCUCCUGAAUCUGCACCACCUGGGACUCCUCUUGGCAGAAUUAAAGCCAAUGACCCUGACGUGGGAGAAAAUGCAGAGAUUGAGUAUAGCAUCUCCAGUGGGGAUGGAUCAGACAUGUUUGAUAUCGUCACUGACAAGGACACACAGGAAGGGAUUAUAACUGUCAAAAAGCAUCUGGAUUUUGAGAACAAGGUGCUAUAUACCUUAAGAGUGGAAGCAACCAAUGCUCAUCCUGAUCCUCGUUUUCUUCAACUGGGGCCAUUCAAAGACACGGCUUUGGUCAAAAUUUCUGUUGAAGACACUGAUGAACCUCCAGUGUUCAGCAGACCCUGGUAUUUAAUAGAGGUAGAUGAAGAUGCCAGGGAAGGAAGUAUUAUUGGGGAAGUUGUAGCCCAAGAUCCAGAUACAGCAAAGAAUGCAAUAAAAUAUUCUGUGGAUCGACACACUGACCUUGACAGAAUAUUCAACAUCUAUUCUGGAAAUGGAUCCUUGUUCAUCUCAAAGCCACUUGACCGAGAGGAAACUCCCUGGCACAACAUCACUGUCAUAGCAACUGAAAUCAAUAAUCCUAAACAAAGUAGCCAGAUACCUGUCUUCAUCCGGAUUUUAGACAUAAAUGAUCAUGCACCAGAGUUUGCCAACUACUAUGAAACAUUUGUUUGUGAAAAUGCAAAAGCAGGACAGCUGAUACAGACUGUGAGUGCAAUUGACAAAGAUCAGCCUCCUCGAGGACACAAAUUUUUCUUUGAGUUGGUGCCAGAAUUUGCUCUUCACCCUAACUUCUCCAUUGUAGACAACAAAGAUAACACAGCAGGAAUUAUGACUAGAAGAAAUGGAUACAGCCGUAGUAAGAUGAGUACCUAUCUUCUGCCAAUCAUAAUAUUUGACAACGACUACCCGAUCCAGAGCAGCACGGGCACACUGACGAUUCGCGUGUGUGCCUGCGACAGCCGGGGGAACAUGCAGUCCUGCAGUGCUGAGGCCUUGCUCCUCCCUGCCGGUCUCAGCACUGGGGCACUGGUUGCCAUUCUCCUCUGCAUCAUCAUCCUGCUAGGCAAGUACCUGUGAUGAGAUCUUUACUUGACUAGGCAAAGGUCAUCAUUCACAUGACCCACAGAACAAUAUUUCAUAUCUGAUAUGGUCUCCUUUUUUUUCCAUAUAUAUAUAUAUUUUAUUUUUUUUUCCAACUGUUGUCUAAGAGGGAAAAGGAGCUGAGAGAGGGGGAGAGGGAGGUACUAUGGGCUGUUUGUCAUCAUCACUAUUCAGAAGAAUAUGUGAAAGGAAUGAGACUGUGCUAUUUAGAUUAAAUAAAUUUGAAAAAAUAGGUCAGUUUUAGAUCCCAUGCUUAUUUGAAUAAUGUUUAUACUAUAAUCAGAUCUUCAUUGAGAUCCAGAACUUUCUAAUCGUAUUCCUGAAUCUGAGUGCUAGGUUUUGCAGUGAUUAAAUUAUAUAAAUUAUACUAGCUAUUUAAUGGUGAGUGAUUUGUAUUCUUUUCUGCUCAGGAAAUAUUUAGCUCAAAAACACAGAAUAGAAAUGUCUGAUUGUUUGCAAGUGAUAGGAAGAACAGCUGACUAAAUAACAUGUGAGUGCAGAAGUUAGAUGAGUGUUUGGAGGGUGGAAGCAUUAGAAAAAUUCAUUGAUAUAUGAGAAAAUUAGAAUAAAUGCUACUCAUAACCUGGUGUUAAGAACAUAAAAAUUGCGACUUGAGUGUUUUGCUUACCAGAGAAGUGCCUCCUUAAAAGUGCCACCAUCUCAACUUUCCAGUAAAAGCCUGCAGAAAGCCUCUUUCCACCUACCCUAGCAAACAUAACUAGCCAAGGGGGCAAUGAGAAGCUACAGGUAUUGGUUUAUAUAAUUAUAAGGAGAUAACUUUUUUUCCCCCCAGUUUCUAGACUGGAUUCAAGGUACCUCCAGUAAAUAUUCAAUCACAGAGGUUAUUAGGAGAGGGGCAAUAUCUAGGAAUUAUGUCUAUAAUGCUGGGCAUAGGGAAUGGAGGAUACUCAAGCUCUGAUGAACUGAUUUUCCAUGACAUUGCCCAGACAUAGUCUGAGCUGCAGAACUUGCAGGGAACCCCUGCCAGCAGACAAUUAUAUCUCAAUUCUGCCAGAUCUAGCUGUUCACCUUACAAAGUUCCUAACAUGC